rnacentral:rRNA from 1 species
AUUGAACGCUGGCGGCAGGCUUAACACAUGCACGUCGAGCGAGCGGCGGACGGGUGAGUAAUGUCUGGGAAACUGCCCGAUGGAGGGGGAUAACUACUGGAAACGGUAGCUAAUACCGCAUACCAUCAGCUGUGCCCAGAUUGGAUUAGCUAGUAGGUGGGGUAAAGGCUCACCUAGGCGACGAUCCCUCGCUGGUCUGAGAGGAUGACCAGCCACACUGGAACGGAGACACGGUCCAGACUCCUACGGGAGGCAGCAGUGGGGAAUAGUGGACAAUGGGGGAAAGCCUGAUGCAGCCAGGCCGCGUGUGUGAUGAAGGCCUUCGGGUUGUAAAGCACUUUCAGCGAGGAGGCGGUACUCGCAGAAGAAGCACCGGCUAACUCCGUGCCAGCAGCCGCGGUAAUUC